CCUACGGGAGGCAGCAGUAAGGAAUAUUGGUCAAUGGGCGCAAGCCUGAACCAGCCAUGCCGCGUGCAGGAUGACUGCCCUAUGGGUUGUAAACUGCUUUUGUACGGGAAGAAACCCUGAUACGUGUAUCAGGUUGACGGUACCGUAAGAAUAAGGACCGGCUAACUUCGUGCCAGCAGCCGCGGUAAUACGAAGGGUCCAAGCGUUAUCCGGAUUUAUGGGUUUAAAGGGUGCGUAGGCGGCUUAUUAAGUCAGUGGUGAAAGCCCAGAGCUCAACUCUGGAAACUGCCAUUGAUACUGGUGAGCUUGAAU
rnacentral:rRNA from 1 species